AUGGCCACCGCCCUCACGUUGCCGUCCCCGCUCGCUUUUUCUGGAGCGGUCGACACGUCUCGCCUCGGGCUCCGCCACGUAAAUAUCUGCCGCCACUACCUGCCUAUCAUGCCCCGGCGGCCUCAAAGUCCACUUAUCAUCACAGCUGUACCGCAGGGAGAAGCGAGGGGCAGAGUUCGGAUCUCUAUUCCGGAGAUUUUUGUCUAG
rnacentral:rRNA from 1 species